GCUGGCGGCAGGCCUAACACAUGCAAGUCGAGCGGUAACAGGAAUUAGCUUGCUAAUUUGCUGACGAGCGGCGGACGGGUGAGUAAUGCCUGGGAAUAUGCCUUAGUGUGGGGGAUAACUAUUGGAAACGAUAGCUAAUACCGCAUAACGUCUUCGGACCAAAGAGGGGGACCUUCGGGCCUCUCGCGCUAAGAUUAGCCCAGGUGGGAUUAGCUAGUUGGUGAGGUAAAGGCUCACCAAGGCAACGAUCCCUAGCUGGUCUGAGAGGAUGAUCAGCCACACUGGAACUGAGACACGGUCCAGACUCCUACGGGAGGCAGCAGUGGGGAAUAUUGCACAAUGGGGGAAACCCUGAUGCAGCCAUGCCGCGUGUAUGAAGAAGGCCUUCGGGUUGUAAAGUACUUUCAGUCGUGAGGAAGGCAUUGUAGUUAAUAGCUGCAGUGCUUGACGUUAGCGACAGAAGAAGCACCGGCUAACUCCGUG
rnacentral:rRNA from 1 species